rnacentral:miRNA from 1 species
GGGCUGGGGCCGAGGCUGAGGCUGAGGCUGAGGCUGGGGCUGGGGCUGGGGCUGGGGCCGGGGCCGGGGCCGGGGCUGGGAC